UACGAAGGGGGCUAGCGUUGUCCGGAUUUACUGGGCGUAAAGGGCGUGCAGGCGGUUUGUUAAGUGCAGGGUGAAAGCUCCCGGCUCAACUGGGAGAGGUCCUUGCAUACUGGCGAACUCGAGGGAGGCAGAGGAAAGUGGAAUUCCCGGUGUAGUGGUGAUAUGCGUAGAUAUCGGGAGGAACACCUGUGGCGAAGGCGGCUUUCUGGGCCUUACCUGACGCUGAGACGCGAAAGCGUGGGGAGCGAACCGG
rnacentral:rRNA from 1 species